rnacentral:rRNA from 1 species
UACAGAGGUCCCAAGCGUUGUUCGGAUUCACUGGGCGUAAAGGGUGCGUAGGUGGCCAGGUAAGUUCGGUGUGAAAGCUCGGAGCUUAACUCCGAAAUGGCAUUGAAUACUAUCUGGCUAGAGGGUCGGAGGGGAGACUGGAAUUCUCGGUGUAGCAGUGAAAUGCGCAGAUAUCAGGAGGAACACCGGUGGCGAAGGCGGAUCUCUGGGCCUUACCUGACGCUGAGGCGCGAAAGCUAGGGGAGCGAACAGG